UAUUGUGAAUAAUGGGUAGGCAGAAUUUAAUUAUUUUUUUCGAAAAUAUCAAUAUUUGUCGACCCGUAUGAAGGGCGCCCAUAGGACAAACCCUAUGGACAAACCAUCAUUGUUGAUGUACAUAUAAAUAUAGUUCCACCAAUUCCAAAUAAAACAUUUUGAGCUAUCGUCAUUGCUUCAUGGCAAAAUUGUGAAUGUAUUUGCAUAUUCUUUUGUAAAAGACAGCGACACUGAAAAACAUAUUUUAGUCACAGUUUAUCAAUGGGCUAUUCCAUUUAAUAUCCGUACCCCCCCUGUCGAGGAUCCCUGGAAUUCUUCAGGGGUCUUUGGUUUUGAGCUUGGAAUUCUUCAGGGGUAAAGUGUUUUGAGUUUGGAAUUCUUCAGGGGUAAAGUGUUUUGAGUUUGGAAUUCUUCAGGGGUAAAUGGUUUUGAGCUUGGAAUUCUUCAGGGGUAAAGGGUUUUGAGCUUGGAAUUCUUCAGGGGUAAAGAGGUUUGAGAUUGAAAUUUUUCAGAGCUUGGAAUUCUUCAGGGGUGAAGGGUUUUGAACUUGAAAUUCUUCAGGGGUAAAAGGUUUUGAGCUUGAAAUUCUUCAGGGGUAAAGGGUUUUGAGCUUGGAAUUCUUUAGGGGUGAAGGGUUUUGAGCUUGGAAUUCUUCAGGGGUAAAAGGUUUUGAGCUUGGAAUUCUUCAGGGGUAAAGGGUUUUGCACGAUGGUCGGUUGCUAUGCAGUUUGCUCCCGGAGUCAAUUUGCGAUUGUUGUUAGUUUCCGG